rnacentral:lncRNA from 1 species
GGGAGGGAGGUUUGAUAUAGAUCUGAUGGAGAUCAUUACUUGCAUGAAUCUCAAGUACGAGAAUGUUCAAUUUCCUACCUCGCGAAAGAUGGAUAGGUUUUCCGGUCCAGCUCUCCGUCAAGUAGGCCCAGUAGCUUGGUACUAUCUCUCACUCGGCCCAAACGAGGCUACCGGGCCGCUAGUUCCAGCUACUGGGCCAUGGCUUAAACAGCCGCCGGUUGGAUUUUGUUUCUCAAUCACACAAUGAUCGGUUGGUUUUACUACAGUCUACAUUGUGAUUUCGAGUAAACUGCAACGGAGGACAUUUGAUCUUUUAUGCCACAGAAUGUCGUUGUUCGUUACAAAAUAUUACUCCCUCCGUUCAUUACGAAAUAUUACUCCCUCCAUCCUAAAUUAUAAAUCGUUUUGAUUUUUUUAGAUGUAUAGAUUUUACUAUAUAUCUUAACACAAUGUAUAUCUAAGUGCACAGCAAAAUGUAUGGAUCUUAUAAAGUCAAACGACCUAAGGACGGAGGGAGUAUUGUUUAAUGCAUCAGGCUACCACAAUUUGCUUGGAAGGCUUUGUUGUUGAUGUACUGUCAUUUGGCUUUUCAGAAAUGUGGAGAUUAGAUUCAGUCUACGUGGAAUAGUAGGGCAAAAGUAAACUGAUUGCCUUGUCAAUCCGAAAGGUAUUUUCAGCUGGGCAUGUUCCAUCACAAAUAUGGUUAGUUUAUCUUCUCGUAUGGCGGUUUUACGCUGUAGUGCGUGGCUGGAGAAUCUUAGAGCGUGUUUGAGACUGCUCCCAUCCAAUUUUUUCAACUCCGCUUCCAAACCAUCUUACCAAAUACCUACAGCUCCAACAAUCCCAACUACAAAAAAAAAGGUAGAUCUAGAGGGCAACUCCAAGGUUUUUCUGAAGUACCUCAAGGGGUGCUCAUAAAAUUCAUGUUUGAUAACUUUUCAUGGAGCUGUGGGGUAAUUAAUCACCAUGCCACUGAUUACACACGUGUCGAUUCGCUAAACAAAACAAAUCAGCGUUGUUCUCCCAUCGCCCCCUCCUCAGACUAGUGCUGCCACCUACGGAUUGGGCACUGUCGGCCCCAAUCUCCGGCGAAAAUGGAUGCUGAGACUGCAACCGCCGUCGCCGCGUUCCAUGCCGCGCCGGGGCUGCAGGCACUGGGCUGCGCUGCCGCAGCUAGCCGAGACGCGCAGUGCCGCUGCUUGUGGUCGGUCGUAGGGGCGACAGGGCUGCCGCGCUGGUGCUGCAAGCGCCGCCGCCGCGCUGGUCAGUAGCAGGGGCUCCGUCUUCUAUCCUUUGCAGGUCUCCAGCAUCUUCUCCAUUGACUCGCGCAAAGUAACCAUAGCUUAUUCCUCCCCAAAUCUGAGCAGAAAAAGAAAUCAAAAUCAAGAAUAAGAAAGGAAGGCGAGUAUCCACAACACGCCUACCCGGUGAGAGUCUGGAGCGUUGCUCCUCCAAGGCUCCGACCUCAUGUGCGACUUCACACUUGUGCAGGCGGCAUUCCAGGUGCCACCACAUGCUUGGUUGUCCUGGUCUUGCGCUGUCGCAGGUCUUGACCAUCAAUUCAGGCAAGCUGUGACUGUGUGAUGUUCUUAUAGGUCCAUCUAUCUGUCGAUUUCAUCGAUUUCGUCACCGAUUCCUUCAAAAAUUAGGCAAGCUACGACCGUCUCUCUCUGAAUCGAGACGUCAAUUCCGACGGCGAUGCAGAUCCCACGUCGAAGGUUGGAGCGACCGAGUGGGGUAGGCCAUUGGGUGGGACGAAAAUAGGGUAGCAGGGUGACGGGAGGCUUGGGGUGGUCGGCGGUGGUCACAGAGGCGAGCUCCGGCGAGAGGGUCGGACAUGGCACGGGUGGUGCGGGUUGGAAGGGUUAGGAAAAAAGAAGAGGAAGAAGAGAAGAGGGAGAAAAGAGAAGAGAUUGACGUGUGGAUCCAUUCACAAAGGGUAAAAUAGACUAUUCAUAGCAAGUCUUCAUGUUUUUGGAGCUGGAGUACUGCAACUAGAUAAACACGUACAACAACUCCAUAUUUUUCUAGAGUUGGUGGAGUGGAGUUGAAAAAAAUGAAGUUGGUGAAGUGGAGCUGUUUUUCAUGAGGUGGAGCAGUUCCAAACACGCCCUUAAUCCUUGACGGAAAUUAUCUUUUUUCGCCCUCGUCAUCAAGAUCCCUACGAUGUGCAAGACCUAAUUGACGUCUAACGAUGGCAUCCAGAUCUGGAAAUAAAUAAGAGCUUUCACUAACUACGACCAUAUGCCAAAACGGAGCUUAAUUAUAUUAUACAUCGCUUGCAGCAUCUACGCCGAACCCACGCGCUCUGCGUGGAUUGGAUUAACACCUGCGUAUAUAUAUGCGAAUUAUGCAAAAAAGAGACGAGGGCAUUGCAAUGCUUCAGCUCACGACGCUUCCUGAAACAUCAGAUUGUUCGGAGCAUAUCAGAACCCACUCACUCAUCAGUCGCUCGACAGACGGAGCUCCACUUUUAGGGACAGAGAGCUACAGCUACUGACGAAUAUGAGAAAGAGAACUGAUCCGCUCUUGCUCCGGAGUGGGAAUCCAGGAUUAUUAAUUCCAAAUUUUCCAACACGACAUGCAAAUCUUAUCUCCAGGGUUUUUGCAUUUUCUGGAGAAGAUCAUCGAUCAUGCGAGUACGCGGGGAAUCGCAUUUUUCUGGAAUUUUGUUGUGGGGGAAACAGCAAGCAUAAUUGCUGUAGCUGACUGUAUAAUCUGCAACAGUGUAAAUGUUCCAAUGUUCAGCGUAGCUGGCUGAUGCAUGUGCUCUCUCUCUUUUAUUUUACAUGGGAAUCGAAAGAUUAAUUUAAUAGCUAUUCCUCCACGAAAAAUGAUCAUCGUUCCUUUUGCCACCAAGGAACCUUAGCUAGAAAUCUCAUAUGUGUAUAGUACAAUGCAUUAUUGCUUGAUGUCUGCCAUGCAUCUGUAACAUGCACAAACUUCGAUUCUCCAUGUUGGUCUUGGAUGAAGAUCUGGCUACAUUUUUUUGAAAAAAUGACUAUCAAUAAAUAACUAAUAGUAUAUUCAGUUUUGAAACAUGAAAGUUAUAUAUUCAGGAAAAGACUUCUUAUUACGAUCAUAAGUUUAUUAGAUUUAUAAGUAUAUCCUAAUAUAAAAUAAAGGUGUGGGUUAUUAUACAAAACAUCGAUUGUUAGCAUUGCGACCUGAGGAGAAAAUUUUAAAUUAGUCUCUAGUACCAUAUUCCUUCUGUUCUAAGUUAUUUUCUAGAUACAUAGUUUUUAUUAUAUGUCUAGACAUAACGUAUAUCUAGGUACGUAGUAAAAAGUAAAAAAAUUAUAUACAUAAAAAGCUAAAACGACUUAUAAUUUGGAGUGCAGUUCUCUCAAUUCCUACCUUUUUAGACAAAGAAAUCGUCUUUAUCCUGACCUCUCUUUCUGUAAGACAUGCACUUAAUCAUUCAAUAUUACAAGUCUCAGUUAAUAGCUACAAAAAUAGCAACAAACAGUAGAAUAAUGUUUACAAAAGGGUACUGUUUAAGCACAAAUCCUGUAACUGAACACCCACCCGUUGUUGACGAAGGUCUCCGUCCGUAUAUGAUCGUACCUUCAAAGUUCGUCACACCCAUUUCAUCUACACUCCAUGCUAUUACACGAACUAAAUCUCGGGCCCUUAUCUUUAGUUGUAUCUUCCUAAUCUUUAAGGAAAAACUUGAAUUUAUUCUGGGGUAUAUUCAGCAGCAUAUGCAGUAUACAAACUACAUGGUCAUGGACACGCGUAGCAUAUCGACACUCGGGAAUCAGGAUAUAUGUACAUGAAUGGGCCACGAAGCCGGCCUCGUCAGCAAUCGAUCCAUUAUCGAUCAAGAACCAAGAUCUUUACCGGCCUGUCCGGCUGUGCGUAAAGAUCAUGUCGGCUGUGCGUGGAUAGUGCUAGCUGCCUAGCUGGAUGGUGUUAUUGAUCUCCCACUCCCUGCAGAGUGACCUAACCGAUCGAUCAGAUUCAGAGCACAUAGGACGCCAUGCACAUGCAUGCAGAGCUAGCUGCUAGCUGCUACUUGCAGCUUUGGGUGGUAUCCCGUAUCCGAAUCCGAGAGUGAUCCACGAUACAUUAUCCAGGCCCCGCUAGCGAAGUGGUGGUGGCAUCCAUCCAUUCCAGCAAUGCAUGCAUGCUUAUGCUUCACGCCUUCACUGUUCUAUUCUAUGUAGAGGUUAAAAUUAAACAUAGGAUGGCCGUAUACUAGCUAGGACAAAGAGACGAGGAGCUAUAAUGAUGGAGCUCUUUUACGGUGCAUUAUACUACCACUUAGUGGUAUAUAGCAUCCAUUAGUAAUAGUAAUAUAGUAACUACUAUUAAAAUUAUUAAUUAAGGUUCGAUUAGUUUUUUUUUCCCGAUCUGCCUUGCGAAGUCCAGACCGCCGCCCACGGCCGGCUCUCCCGAUCUUUUCCACGGUGCACCAUGCGCGUGCCUGGCGCACCAUACCGCCAAUGCCCGGUCGUCCGGUCCCUGCCCGUCCGCCGCUGUAGCAGGGCGCGUCACCGGCGAUCUACCUUGGCGCAACGUGCCUCUCCUGCCCGGCUGCCUGCCGCACCAGGGCUUGUCCCGGAGCACGAGCGCUUCCACACCCACCUCGGGAAAACAACGGCGUUGAGAGGGAUCAGGUCGCUCAUGUCCGGACGGAAGGCGGUGGCGCCAUUCAUUCCUCGCGUGCCGAGUUCGGGUUUGUGACGGCCUGAUCCAGCACCUCCACGUCCAUCCUCUUGUCCCAAAGAAGAGGAAGAUAGUAAAAGAGGCUGCGCUGCACUACUCGCCAUGUUUGAUGCCAUAGCCCUGGCUUCAGUCACAUGUUCUUGUGUACAUUUGCUCACCAGCUUUCGUCUUAGAAACCCCAAUUUAACUGAUGCGGUCAUGUUGCACGAAAUUUUACGAAAUAAUGGUACACACUUUGUAUUUGAGUCAUUUAAUUUGCACAACCCAAUCUCCCCUCUUGGCAACCUUGUGGCAGUUUAACCAAAUAAACUUCAGUACAUGAUGUUUGCAUCGAAAGAUGGCCUCUGACCAUAUCUAUACUAGCAGCACAAAGCCUCAUGGAAUGCGCGCCGUCCUCGGUCACCCGUUCUCUCCAGCCGCUCGGCACCCCGCACCUGGAAUGGUGCCUCCGCCCAUCCGUCCACACGCGACAGAAACGAAACGCCGGUGCAUUGGAUCGAUAGGAUGGAUAAGAUCCGAAAUCAUAGAUGGAUGUGGGCCGGGCUCUAUUUGGGUAUGGGUAGGGCCAUGACGAAAAUAAUUAAAAUUAGAUAGAUGCCAUUCCUAUUCUUUUUCCCCAUAAUAUAUCAUGUAUACUACCCAUACCACUAGUAAAAUUUUUAGCAGUAUACAAUUAAUCUCAACCAUAUUUUUAUACUAGUCUUUUUCGAACACUAGUAUAGCUUAGUAUAAUGCACCGUAAAAGAGCUCUGAUGAUGAUGCGGUAACAAGUCGAAAACAUGCGAGUAUUCUAAACACGAAAUUAGCUUUUUAGGAAAUGGAUAGAUUUCUCCGACCUUUGCGACCGCACACAGUCAAAAUCAAAACACGAAAUUAGCUAGCCUAGCCUCUAGCAGCUUGCUAUCCGCUUUUAAUUUCUAGCUACCAUACCGAACUGACUGAUUGAGCUGAUUCCAUUGCUGCAUACAUGUUCAUGUCUCUCAAGUCGAUGCUGUACGUGCAUGCAUGUAUCAUCCAUCAUGAACGGACGAUGGUCUGAUAAAACCGAACUGAAUUCCCUGAAUUUCUUUUACAUGUGAUUGAUAUAUCAUUGACGGAUGAGCCUGAAGCAGCACUAUAUACCAUAUACACUACCCAAACCCAAGAAUAUAAUCUGAUACCCGAUUCCAUUAGUGAGGACGACGAGAGGCGAGCUGAUGACGGUGCAGGCAUGCAUGCAGAAAGGUUUGGUUGAACAGCGACAGGUUCCGACGGGGAAAGGAAUUAUAUGCGCAGUGCAGUGCAGCCUGCAGCAUUUUCUUCGUCAGCACGACGGAACGCUGCAAGUUAGGGUAGCAGAACUGACAGCUGAGAUAUUUACCCGUCAGAAUAGCAUACGUGAUAACUGGCCACUUGCACACGCACCAGGACUUCUCCCAUGGACACAGAUGGCUCAACUGAAACGAAUGAAGAAGCAGCAAAAGUGAGACAAGGUUUUUGAUCUGACCCCCGGUUCGAUCAUUCACUCCCACCAUAUUUAUUUGUUUGUUUGUUUUUACCAUUAUCAUAAAAUUAAAAAAGUCUAAAAUCAUGCAAGACUAACGUGAGUUUUAUAACAGAGCAGAAAUAGACUAGGCACCCUAGCUAGCUAGAGAGAAAAGAAAAAGGAAGGAAAAGAAAAAGACCUUAUUAGCUGAUAUGUUAAAGAGUGAAAAGCAGAGAAAGGUGCAAGAGAAGGUAGGGUGGAAAUAUGACAAAUACCACACAAAACCCUACCAGCAGGAUGCAGCAUCUGCUUUCCAUUUUGUACGACCUGUCAGUUAUUAAGCGAGAGCCAAUCGCGGUUCGAUAGGUGGGAUGACAAAAAGGUUUGGAUCGGGAGUCAUCAUGCACGCCAUUGACAAAUGACAAGCAUGUAGACUGUAGAUCAGUGGGUGAUCAGCGGGCAGGCGCGCACAUAAUGAUACGGCUUGGUACUACGCUGACUUCGGUUCGGCACAGCCACAUGUGUACGCAUAUCUUGGACAGAAUUUUAAGUUGUGAAUCUCCAUUCAGCCCGUUUCUUCCUUCUUCGAUGACAUUGAUAUGUGUUCCCAUUGUAUGUAUGGUCGUUAUCGGUCCUCGCGGAGGCAACAAAAGGGUCCGACCGCUAUAGCUUUCAUAUUUGACAUUGGUAUAACGAGUCCUUUUUUGAUAAUAGAUGUAACUUUGAUUCCCAGUGGACUAUGCCAUUUUACUAUUGCUAAUUGAGGCUCCUUUUGAAGCCACCAGGUGAAGCCACCUAGGAUUCUAGGUGAACACUCUAGAAAAAGAGAGAAAUUCUCCCAAAAAAGUAAAACAUCUAGCCAUCAUAGACUCAGAAUCAUCAUAGCCAUUGGAUCUAUUAUGUUUUUUUAAAAAAUUACUCAUUAUGAAAAUAGCCUAAAGUAACCCCGUAAAUCUAUAUCUAAAUUACACACCUCUGCCAUUACAUAAAAUAAACUAAAGUAACCCCUAAUCUUCAUCAAAAUUAUCCACUUAUGCCAUUAUAAACAAUAUUUAAAAUAACCCCUAAAUUUGCAACCCAAUCGCCCACCACUAAUACUUAAAAAUAACCUAAAGUAACCUCUUAAAUUUGCAUCUAUAUUACCCACAUAUGCCAUUAUUAAAAAUAACAUGAGGUAACUAUACAUUUGAACCCAAAUCAUCUUAAUUAAAAAUAUACACCAAUAUAUGAUUCUAAACCGUCUAUUUCUUACACUAUUAGUAUAUGAUAUAACAAUUAAGGUAUAUAAAUGUGAUGUGUGUCACCAUUUAUAAAGAUAUAGUGAAAAUAUUGAGAAUAUAGAUUUAUGUGUUGAAAUUAUACUCCAUUCAUCCCAAAUUACUAUUUGCUUUGGCUUUUCUAGAUACAUAACUUUUGAACAAAUUCAAGCACAUACCUACAAUAUGAAGUGAAAAGUUAAAGAUUAUAAACGUGGAUAAAAAUGUUAUAGACUAAUUACUAACUAAAAUCAAUCACAAUCGAAUGAAGAUAAUAACUAUAUAUCUAUGCAAGUAUUGUGUUCGAAUAUUUAACAAAUGAGAGGUAGCUCAAGGUAAUAGUUUUGUAGUUCCAUUGGAGACUCUGCAUUAGUUCUCACAAAACAUGCUAGAAAAAAGACAAAUCCUAAAAAUUCUCACAAAACUUAGAAACACCCAACAUCAAUCAUGUAAACUCUAAUAAUCAUAGUCACUGGUCUAUAUUAUUUUCUAAAAAAAUACCCACCAUAAUUCUAAAAUAAACCCUUGAGCUCUCCAAUGGAAAGAAAAAUGAGGCCACAUUGCUACUGAGCUCUGUCAUUAUGAAAAAUAAACUAAAGUAAUUUUAUAAGACCACAUUGCUACUGAGCUCAAAAAUAUGUUUUAUAAUGACAUAGCUCAGUAAUUUUAUAAGUUACCCACCAUAAUUUAAAAAUAAACCCUUGAGCUUUGUCAUUAUAAAAAAUAAUCUAAAGUAAUCCCAUAAUAUUCAUCCAAUUUACGCAUGCAUAUCAUUAUAAAGCAUUGCUUAAAAGACCAUUCUAAAUUUGUAUCUAAGUUACCCACUAUGUCGUAUCAAAAAUAACCUAAAGUAAACUCUUAAAUCUUAAUCUAAUUAUCUUAAUGUGCAUCAUAUAGAAAUGUUUAAAAGUAAACUAAUAUAUGAUUCUAAAUUACUUAUUUAUGUUAUUGUUAAUAUAACAAUACUAAGUUAAGGUAUAUACGCAUGAUGAGUGUCACCAUGUAGACUAGUUAUACAUGUACGGGAGGAAGUGACAAAAAAUAUUGAUUUUUAUACUAAACACAAUGUAUGGAGGUGCAAUACAAAAUAAAAGAGAUUGGAUGUGGAUGAAAAAGUGUAUAGAGUAAUUACUCUUCAACCACAACUAGACAAACAUAAGUACACGUCUAUACGAGUAUUAUAUUGAAGUAUUUAAAAAUGGGAGAGUAGUAGGUAAAGAGUUUUGAUUAUUAAUUAGUACAAGUUUAAUUUCUAAAUAAUUUUAAAAUACAAUAGCUUUUAAAAAUAUUAGCCCGUGCCUCCGCAUGGGCUGAUGGACAAUUUAAUAAUUAACUUGCUUCUACAGAAUAUCUUUGGUAAUGCGACACGGAUACAUGGACUAAUUGUGGAUGAUCAAGUAUUAGAAAUCGUGUCGAUGUUCUAGUAGGGUCCUUGAAGUUAAAGGCCUACUAAUUAAGAUCGAAGUAGUGCAUUCCACCACGGAGGAUACAUGUAGGCCAUCGAUCAAUCUCUGAGCUCCAGUGCUAAAGGCUGUAAAAGAGCCCACCGCCCAAUGCGAAGUGGCGAGCAGUCAUGUGUCCAAGGAGAAUGUACAAGGAUUCAUGUAGGCAAGUUGGGAUGCACAUCUGUGCCACCCACGACUAGCUUGCUCGAAGCUAAGUAGGGCCAGCCGAGCACCAUGCAUAUGCAUGCACGGAGCGAGACCAACAAUGAAGCUUGCAUCCAUGAUCUUGUCUACGCAACGAUCAGCAGCCUAUAUAAAGAUCAUGUCUGUGGUGUAGAUUAGUUUGAUUUACCCAGUGCACAGGAGCAGAUCAUGCAUUCAUUUGACACGCGCCAUUCCACGAGCACCGGGCCUUGAGAGAAAACCCAAGGCCCUCACGUCGCUCUCAAAAGCGGCUUGGGGGCGAUACAUCCAGCCCUCCGCUGCAUCCUCCUAACCCUAGGCCGACGGCCGACCGGCCGCCGGCGGCCCGAAGCCGGUGCUGCUCGCGUUCCCUCUCCCCUUCUUUCCCUCCCUUCCUCUCUUCUCUCCCAACCACACACCUAGGUCGCUCCCUUCUCCUUCGUUGUCGGCGAGGCUACUCCGGCCCUCCGGUCGUCAGAUCCGCACCUCCCAAUGCCGGAUCCAUCCUCUUUGGGCCCGGAUCUGAGGUCUCCCGGGUCGAAGCAGCUAAUCGUCGGUGCGUUUGAAGGGAAGGGGAAGGAGGCGGCAGCUCGAGGUUCUGCGGCCUCCCGAGUCGUCUCCCGCAGCAGGGGCUCGGCAGCUGCCGGCGCACCUCUCGUUGGCGGGGCACGGAGGUCGGCGGCGCGGCGAAUCGCGGUGGGGGCCUGGCGACCGGCACCUCGGCACACGACGCGCCUCUUAGUGGCGGAGCACGUGGCCGGCGGCGCUACACCCCAUGGCGGGGCUGGCUGCCGGCAGCGCGGCGCUCCACCGACCCACCGCCGCAAGAUCCUACCUUUUGCGCUCACAGCAGCUCUGGAUCUGCAUGGUCCCAGGCGCUGGCGCCAGGCUUCACCGGGCUGUCACCGCUGGGGCGCUCGGGGGCUCUCACUCGGGUGUUGUCGCCGCCACCACCACCUACCUCCCGGGGUCCUCGGGGGCUCUCACUCGGGGCUGGCUCGUAGGCUUCCGCCCUGCGCCGGUGUGGAUCCGCCCCCCAACGACAUGGAUCCGCCCUCCCCAGUACAACUGCUCCCGCUGUUCAAGGCGGUCUUCUCCGCCGGUGAAGGUGUGGGUCGGCUGACACUGGACCCACCCUCCCCCGACCCCACCCCCACCUAGAUUUGCGUGCGCCACUUCUGAUCAUCAUCGUCGAGCCUCGGGAGCUCGUCAUCGUCACCGCCGUCGCCACUUGUUACGCUACUCGUGUAGGCGCUGGGUGCCCUUGAGCCUCCUGUUCCAUUGCCCAUCCUUGGUCGUGUAGGUGCCCAUUGCCGGGCCUUUGGUCAUGGGGAUUCUUCCCCCUUUGGUCGUUCGGUUGGUGGGAGUUCUAGGGUGUGUGCUACCGCUCGUAUCUACUGGCGCUCCUCUCCGGGUGAUGCUGCACUAGCUGUUUUGGUCGUUGGGUGGCGGUGGCGUGCUCUUUCAUUUCUCGUUGGCGCGUUUUUGAUCAUCUUUGGGCCAUCACGGUCGCCCAUGGUCGUCUGGGCCCUUCCUUCUUCUCAAUGGUGCCUGCAGAUGUUCCUCAUCAUCGUCGCCUUGGAUUACUCGUUGCCAUCCCAUCGCAUUGGCUAUCAUCCAGGACUCGACGGUCGUCUGCUGCGUGGAGUUAGUUUUGGGGGCCUUUGGCGAAAGCUUUGCCUGGCAUUCACCAGUGCUGACAACGGUUGCAUCCUUUAAGGUAGCUUACCUUGCUGGGGGUGUUGUUGCGGCCACCAAACCCAUUUGAUUUCACCAAGUGAAGACUUGGACUGCUCCUCUGUGGACAUUCGGACGAUGACGGUGUUGGCGUCGCUCCCUCCUUGGAGGCAUCAUCUUGCAUGACCUUCUUGCUCUGCCUCCACUGGCUCCGGGUUGUUAGGCAACCGGUGAUGUGCAUGUGUUCUUGGUGCCCUUCUAUCCUGCAUGUAUCGGUCGUCUUAGGUCGUGUUUGGUGUGGUGGUGUUGUAAGUUUCUUUUCUGUUGUGUUUGUGUUGCUUGUCGUUAUUGUAACUCUGCGCUUUGGGGUCUCUCCUGAAGUGGCUUCAUUGUAACCCUCUUCUUCUUAAUGAAAAACGUGCUAUGCAUGUCUUAAAGAAUAUAUUUAGUAGAUUAUAAGACGUGCAAAAGUAACACAGGCAUACAAGUAUUUUUUAUAAUAUAUAUAAUUACCUAGAUUUGUAAAGUAUUUGAAAUGUAUACAAUUUAUGUGUAAAGAAACACAUGCAUAUUUGAAACUUUGUUGUUAUGAGUUCACAUAUAGUUUUUAUUCAAUUAAUGCCCAAAGUUAGAUAACUUGCCUAGCCGCACACCUUAUGCAAUACGCCAAUACCGUACAUUUGCAAACAUUGAUGGAUCAACAAAGGGAUUAUGGCAGGUUACUAGCUGCCACACCAUUAAAGUAGGGCUGAGGUGUGUUUGAGGAAGAUAAAGAGGGCAAGAGGAGUACAACGGAGAUAAGAUGUCGAAGAAAGCACUACAUGUGAAGAUCCAGCACAUGUCGCCCUAUGCUACUUUAUGUUUGUCAAUGCUAAUGAACGGAGGUAGUGCAUAACGAUCAUAAGGUACGUUGCAUGAUAAAAAUCUAACAGUAUCCUUUUCAUUCACCGUAACAUCUAGGCAAAGAAACACCGCCUCGCCUAGCGCCUACUGCCUAGCGCUUUUGAAACAUUGACUUUAACCAUGGAUACCAAUGAAAGUUUAUUAAUUUGAAUAGCGGAGUCAAAGGAGGAGAGAGCGGGAGUACUGCUCAGAGAGGCACAUAGCUUUUCCUUUGUUCUUCUCUCUUUAACAACGUUCUGUUGAUAAUGUUAGGCUAUCAAUUUGAACAUGUAUGACGCUUUUGGUUCUAAGUUUACUAUACAUUAAAAUCUAUUGUUAAACUGGAUCAACCUUCUUUUAAAAAAAACUGGAUCAACCAGCGAGCGUGGUUUCUCAAUUGGCAACAAAUGAGAAAAUCUUCACAUUGAUUUCUUGGAGAGAUUGAAAAAACAAGGCCUCUUCUAUAAACUGAAAAAAAAAACCCUGAAGGACAAGGACACGCAUGCGUGGACCAUAUGGCACUUAAAACAAAGUCGUCUGGACGACUUUGGAGCAUACCCUAUCCUGCCAAUAUCUUUUUUUUAGAAAAAAUGCCGGCUAGAAGAUAAUUAAGGCCACAAUUACAACGUUAAUCUCAGGCCAAUGGAGGCGCACGGACUCCAUCAGACGGUAUGCAAAGCAAAUGUCUGCAGUGCAAUUCGCUACAAGUGUAAUAAUAUGCAUGGACGUGAUUGUCUUUUGCCUCACAAGAUAAUCUUGUUUCAACUAAAAAGGAUAUCAGCAGAUUAUAUUAACAAAGCAGGGUGAGUGGCCUUUUCUUUUCUACACUGCUUGAUCGAUCUUUCUAUCCUGAUUGAUCAUGUCUAUGUGUUUUGAUUGGAUACUUACACUGCUGAAUGGACACGCACUCAUGCAUAUUAAGCAUAAUUAUAAGCAUGCACAGAUUUCACGCCCCAUACGUUACUAACUCCUCCCUCGCAACCAUAGUGGAAAGGGUGAAAGCCAAAAGUGUUACUGCAGUGGUGGUCUGUUCAGUGAUACUUCUAGUUUAUUAGGCGUUGUGGCCUGUUCUGCAUGGCCAGCCUUUCAUGUGUCCAAGGGCCAUAUUUUUGGCUGCUAGGGGAGCAUCACGCAUUAGCUAAGAUGAACUAAAUUGGAUAUCUUUCCUUGAAAAAGGGAACGAGAGCUUCAAAAGAAACCACAGGAUUGGUGACAAAAUUUUCGAAAUGUUGUCAUUUUAAUUGUUUCAAGUGUACCAAGGUGAUUUCCGAAAUGAAGACUGAUUCUGCAAUGUGGGAAGUAUAAUUAUCAGGAAAAUGUAUGUGAGCUCACUUCAUUCUAUUUGGCAAUCAUAGGUUGUGCCUUGAUCGAAAGUGUUUGGGGUUUGCUUGAAUUUCUGCGAAACAUUUGCAUACUUAAUUUAAAGAAAGAGAAAAGGCAAAAAAAAAUCCGCAUAGGUUAGUUUGUCAAGAAAAAAAAUUAUUAUAGCUCGUAUUUUCAUUGUAGCAUCCGUAUGUCUUUCUUAUGUCAAAUCCCCCUAGCGCCGCACUCAACUAUAUGAUGUGACAUUGCAUGGAUUCCACGUACAAUUCUUUUCGAAGAUAACUAAAAUUUAACUAGCUGAGGUGUUUGGAUCCAUGGAUACCCUUCAUUAAUUGCUGUACAGUGUCAGUGGGAAAUUCACGUGAACUGGUAGGGUUAUUUUGGUCUUUUAGCUCGUUUAGCUGGGUGCAUUUUUUGGCCUGUAGCUAAAUAGCUAUCCCUAGCAGCUUAUGCGUAAAAAGGACCUAAAUAGCAGGUUAGAGAGCUGAAAAAUCCAGACAAAGACUACAUUAUGGUAGGGCAUUUUCGUGUAUUAUUCCUAUAUAGAAUUGUUAUAGAGAUUCGUUCAGACUCAACAUAUAUGACACGGCUAAGCGGUGGUUAAUCGAAUGAUUACAUGGCACUAAACUGUUGUUAAGGUGAGGUAGAGAUGAUUAGUGCACAUAUUUAUUUAGUUAAUGAGUGAUUUGCAACAGUUAAAACAUAAGAGAUUAAAGUCAAACUUUUACGAUACUUAAGGGAUGAAAAUACAUGUUUUCCUUUAUCUCUUCUCAUCAAGAUCAACAAAUUAUGGAUCAUCUACUUCGAAGUUAGGCAGCCUAAUUAGGCACACUCCCAACAAGACUCAUGAAAAGGCAGAAAUAUAUAUGCUCCAACCAAAAGUAGAGUAUAUAUGCAAGUUCCCUACACAUAUACCGUGACGUGUGCAACCUUUGCAAAAUAAAAGGAGGAAUCCAUGCAUUCUCAGCUCAAUUCUGAUGGCUCAUAAAUCGCCGUCUGAGCUUUAAAGCAAGCAUGCUUUGUUUAGUUAAUUCACGGAGGGAUCAUAACUACCACAGCAGGACAUUAUGCAUAUCUGCAUGAACACACGGUAUAUAACCCCGAGAAUGCCAAAUCCAAAGGAAUUCAGCCCAUGCAUGUGUGUUCUUUAUCCCUUGUAGGGUAGAGCAGAAUCGAUCUCUCAGUUUCGAAUGGUCCUGUCGAUCUAUAUGAGCCAUGCACACUGGAGAGUGAAUUAUUUGCAUAUUUUACGGGUACAAUUCCAUAUUAGUCACCCCAUAAGCUAUUUGGUGGUUUCUGCGGCGGUGUAGCUUCCUUCUUACACUGCUUCUGGAAUAUAUGCUGCACAAGUGAAGUUACAGAUGUGCCAUGGCAUAUAGCAUCUGGUAGUAGUUUUCUUUUCCUCGAUCAAGCACCUUGUCUUCUUAACUUUAUUAUGUGCACCACAGGCGAAAUGAAUAUAUCUUGAGCCAAACAGAAAUGGGAAAUCUGAAAAGAGUACAUGUGUCUAGCUCCCAUAUUGAGCAAAGAAUCUUGCACGAACUUCGCAUGAUAUUUACAGAGAUCAAUAAAAGUCCGAAUCCUACAACAAUAUUCACUUUCGAUUUCUUACUAUGUUCAUCCACUGAGCCAGAAUCUUAUGAAAAAUUAUUGCACUUAAUUUUUAUCUCGUUUGCUAUAUUGUAAUCAUAUAUGUGACUAUCCAUGCCAAUAUUUUUUUCUAUUUAAUUUGGUAGCUAAACUCCACCGUAUAAUUGAGAGAGAUCUUAGCUAAUGUUUGGUGAAAGCAUAUGGAAUGAUAUAAGAUAGUGUCCACGUACUUCCGGUAAGUUUUGUUUUAUAAUGGUAGAUGUCAGUGGUCCAGAAGCAGUUUUCAUUGUAUAUUCCUUGGAUUGUUUAAUAAUGCAGGUGUGAAAGCAUUGUAUUACAAUGGGUACUCUGGGUUAUUUUUCGUAAUAGUCGGUAAAUCAGAAUAAGGUGUCAUGAUAUUUUCAUUUUUUUUCCUUUUUGACAAAUGUGGGUAUGUUAGAAAUAGGUUAGAUAUACAACGGUAAAUUUUUUUUUGCCAAUUAUAAUUAUAGUACCCAAAGUCAAUUUUUUGCAUGUUUCGUCUAAGGAUUAACAUGGAGAAUUCCAAUUAGUAAUAUACAAAGAUAUCCUUGUGUUCCAACUCUGGUCUUUUGCUCCUGAAACACCAUUUUAAUUUGCACGAACUGCAUGUUGUUUUCCAAUGAGCCAGACAACAUAAGAGGAGGGGAAAAAGUACUCCCUCCGUUACAAAUUAUAGAUCGUUUUAAUUUUUUAUUCAUAGAUGUUUGUAUGUAUCUAGACAUAUAUUAUAUUUAAGUGCAUACAAACAUCUAUACGCCUAGAAAAGUUAGAAUGACGUAUAAUUCGAGACGGAGGGAGUAGAAGUUGGUGGGAUAAUUGGCGCCUACUUUCUGCCACCAUGUUUCCUAAUGGAGGUACUCGUGCUCUACACCUAUACAUACCCAAGUAAUGGUGUCUGGACCAAAUGAUAGGAUCGUUGAGCACCAUGCAAUUAGCAUGAGCGGGGGGCCCACCCACUAGCAGCUAAACCCUGCUGUGCUACCACCUCCCCGCCUCUCCACUCACUCACCCCUCUGUGCUCUCAGGCCACCAUAUAUGCAUGCAAACGGAUGCACCACAUCUCAGUCGCUCUCUUCUCUGCUAUACAUAAUAGCAGCUUCAUCGCCCUUCCCUCCUCGAUUCACCACCCUCCUCGAUUUACCUCCACUCCACAGCUUCGACAUCUCCCUCGUCAAUUCCCUUCUCCUCCCUGGUGGAAUCCAAUCCGAUGCGGCGGCCACCAUCGGCACCACCACCAUUGCCAGCCCAAGUGGCGGCCUCGUGAGAGGUUGGCAGCGAGCCAAGCCUAGGAGACGGCAUCGGUAUAUCUCGGAAUGUGCUGCCUCCCAACACCCCCGGCCACCGCCUAUAAAGCCAUCGCCAUGGCUCCCCCUCCCCACCCCCGCCAGAGCUAGCUAGGGAUCGAUCUCAUCUCUCACUCGCCCGCUCGUCUCCCACCGAGCUCCAUCGCCGGCGCCGGCGAGACCCACCAGCAGCUAGCCACAUGGUGAAGUUCUCGAAGCAGUUCGAGGGGCAGCUCGUCCCCGAGUGGAAGCACGCCUUCGUGGACUACUGCCUGCUCAAGAAGGACCUCAAGAGGGUGCAGCACGCCCUGCUGCUCAUCGGCCGUUGCGAGGCGGCGGCGGCAGGCCUAACCGCCGCCGCACAGCAGCAGCAGACAAGCGAUGACCGGCACGCGGAACGUGUUGUUGCUUCCCUGUCCCAAUGGCUCCAUGCUGCCGGUCUCUUUGGCUCCUCCAGCACGCCCAAGGAUCACGGAGUCAUACACGUACGAAACUGACGCUUCGAUCAAACGUGCACACGUAGUCACGUGUACGUGACACACCCUUCUCCGAUUGUUAGUGAAUCUUUUGCGCUUUUUUGUUCGUGUCCAGGUGCACCGCCGGAAGCUGGCGGGGCCGGCGGCGAGCAGAGGCGGCGGGGACGAGUACGAGACGGAGCUGCUGGAGCCACUGGCGGCCGCCGACGACAACGAGGCGGCGGCGACGCGGGAGUUCUUCGCGCGGCUGGACGCGCAGCUCAACAAGGUGAACCGGUUCUACAAGGGCAAGGAGGAGGAGUUCCUGGAGCGGGGCCGGUCGCUGCGGAAGCAGAUGGACAUCCUCGCCGACCUCAAGGCCGCCGCCAGGGAGGACACCACCACCAAUCCCUCCGACUCCUCCGUCGCCUCCGGCGGCUGCUCCGGUGAGCACUUGCAAACCGAUCAAUUGCAUUUCCCACAAAUAGGGUAGCUAGCUCUGAUCAGCAGGCGAUCAUGGCCUCCGCCGCCGCAAGCCCGCAACAACCAGCAACACGGCCGCGCGCGGCCGGCGUAGCUAGCUAGCGUGCGCUCGUCGUCGUGUCGCGUGGCCGGUGGCGAGCGAGCUGAGGUAGCGUGAGACGAGAUGUCACGUAGGCUCGCGACCGGCGCGGCGAAUGGGGGCGCUGGCCGGUGGUGCCUGCUGAUUGGUGAGGUGAGGCCCACCGUCCAUGUCCAUGGAUGAUGCUGGAUCAGACGUUUGAUGAGCUUUGAGGCGUGUGAGCAAGAAGUCACUAAGCUCUGUGCCCAGGAAUAUUGGCUCUCUCUCUUUUUAUCGUGUGGGUGUCUUUAGUAGUUAGUCGUGUCUGCAUUUGGCACGACACAUAUUGUGUUGUUAUCCUGACUUUGCUUUUAGCGUCUCCUGGCGUCUCUUUUAGGCUCGUUUGGUAUGGCUUAGGGGUUCUGGUUUUGUAUCUGUAGUAGUACCGUAGCAGGUGGAGCCGAAUCCAUAGGAAGCUAUUUUUUUAGAGCUUCACCGGUUUCACCUCCUUCCCAAUUCAUUUUGAAGUCUUGGUAUCCGUUCCGACUUCGUGCUACUGUAACGCACAGUGCUAAACAGUGCGCGUUACUGUACCAUGCUAAGGGGCCUUAAUAUUUGCCGAAUUUCAUUUUUUUAAUUUUGACGAUGGAUCCGCAUUGACAGUACAUUAGCAAAAGCAUUAGUAGCAGAUAACAUCUGGAUGCCUCGCUCCCCUGAUUCUUCUAGAAAGAAGAUAAGAGAAAUAAUGCAAAAUUCCGUGCAUUAUUUAUGCUGCUAGAACAUGACUCUUGAAAAAGCAGAAUUUCUUCCUUCAAUAAUAGUACACACAGAGCAUCUAUAUUUUAUUAUCACGAUUUCUGAUCAAAUUAUCUUUCAACAUACUUUUUUAGAUUAUUCAUUUGAUGUCAUCUUCUUUUAUCCUACUGAUGAAAACAGAGGAUGAGUCCACACGGUACGCGAUGACGUCUGAGACAGACACGGACCAGCUGAGCGAGCAGGAGGCCACCACACCGACCAAGGACCCCGGCGUCACGGCUCAAGAAGACCGGCAGAUGGAUCUAGACGGUUCUGGAACCUUCGGGAGGUCGGCGAGCGGCUGCGGGAGGAAGAGCCUCAAGAUCAACAUCCCCCUGACCAACCCCUCCCGGACGAUCGCCGCGCUGGCGGACAUCCUGCGGGACGAGCUCGCCGCCCAGUCCGGCUCCAAGAAAUGCAACCCCGACGGCGGCAUGGGGAAGCACGGCGUCAGCAAGACGAAGCUCCGGCACGCGGAGAAGAUGAUCAGGGGCGGCUUCGUCGAGCUCUACAAGGGCCUCGGCUACCUCGCCACCUACCGGUAAGCUCCGCGCAUUCGUUUGUGCGUUCAGGUUCAGAACUGCUUGAUCAGAUUGAUGCUGAUUUUUUUUUUAUUUUUUUGGCAAUGAGCAGGAACCUGAACAUGAUGGCGUUCGUGAAGAUCCUGAAGAAGUUCGAGAAGAUCAGCGGGAAGCAGGUGCUCUCCGUGUACCUCAAGGUGGUGGAGAGCUCCUACUUCAACAGCUCUGACGAGGCACGCACACGGUUUGCUCUGUUCCACUCUCUGUCUCUGCACCGCUAUCUGACUGACAGAGAAAGCUCGCCGAACUUGCUAUUCUGAAUGGAACUGAUGACGAGACGACAUUCUCGCUGCAGGCGCUGAAGCUGAUGGACGAGGUGGAGGAGAUCUUCGUCCGGCACUUCGCCGGCGGCAACCGGCGCAAGGCCAUGAGGUACCUCAAGCCGGCGCAGCGGAAGGAGUCCCACUCCGUCACCUUCUUCACGGGCCUCGCCACCGGCUGCUUCGCCGCGCUCUUCGUGGGCUACUGCGUCAUGGCGCACAUGGCCGGGCUCUACCUCUACACCUCGACUCCACGCGGGCGCGGCGGCGGCGAGGCGGCGCGCUACAUGGAGACGGCGUACCCGGUGCUGAGCAUGUUCACGCUGCUGUUCCUGCACCUGCUCCUGUACGGCUGCAACAUGGUGGCGUGGCGCCGGUGCCGCGUCAACUACGGCUUCAUCUUCGCGUCGUCGCCCGCCGCUGCCGGCGGGGAGCUCCGGCCCCGGGACGUCUUCCUCACCUGCGCCGCGUCCAUGGCCGCUGUCGCCGGAGCCAUGUUCGCGCACCUCGCGCUCGUGCUCAGGGGAUACCACGCGUCGCCGCACGUCCAGGCCAUCCCCGGAUUCUUGCUCCUGGUGAACCCUCUAUCUACUACUGCAAUUGUUCUUAUUCUGAUGGUCUCCUGAUCGUGAUCACUAGAGGCUCAUCAAAGGACAUUCUCCAUAUAUGCUCCUGCAGCAACUGCACCUGAUCAAGAAUGGGAAUAAUGGAAUGUGUUCUGUCGAUUCAUGCAGGUGUUCCUGCUCCUUCUGUUCUGCCCUCUCAACGUCGCGUACCGUUCGAGUCGGUUUCGGUUCCUCAGGAUUAUGAGGAACAUCAUCCUGUCACCACUCUACAAGGUACAGCAUCAGCAGCACUUGCAGUUAUUCAUUCUGAUAAGCCUUAGCAUAAUCUUCUUGGACCCAAACUGGGCCAAUGUUCGUUCAAUUUGUUUUUAAUUUUUUCAAAAACUGGGCCAAUGCAUAGCCUGAUGAUCUUUGAACAUUUGCAGGUUGUGAUGGUAGACUUCUUCAUGGCCGAUCAGCUAUGCAGCCAGGUGCCUAUGCUAAGGAGCCUGGAGUACUUGGCCUGCUACUACAUCAGCGGGAGCUACAUGACGCAGGAUCACGGCUACUGCAUCAACACCAAGCAGAUCAGAGACCUGGCCUACGCCGUCUCCUUCCUGCCCUACUACUGGAGAGCCAUGCAGGUAACAGCAAGGUCUACCACGCAGUAGAGUCCGUUCAUCUUCAUGAACAUUCCUCAGUCUCUGCAGUUUCUGAACUCUGGAUGUCUGAAAAACGUUUAUGCAUUCAUAUCUUCUGUUCCAGUGCGCGAGGCGGUGGUUUGACGAGUGGGACACGAGCCACCUGGUGAACCUGGGCAAGUACGUCUCGGCGAUGCUCGCGGCCGGCGCCAAGGUGGCGUACGAGAAGGACAAGGGCCUGGCGUCGCUGUCGCUGCUCGUCGCCGUGUCGAGCACCGCCACGGUGUACCAGCUCUACUGGGACUUCGUCAAGGACUGGGGCCUGCUCCAGCCCAACUCCAAGAACCCCUGGCUCAGGAACGACCUCAUUCUCAAGAGGAAAUCCGUAUACUACUUGUCAAUGGUACGUUCAUCAGUUCAUCGCCGUGCAUGCAGAGAAACUUGUAAAGCGAGGUCAAAUGGCUUCAGUUGCAGUGCAGGACAAUCUGCUCUUUCAGAGUUCAGACAGCCUGUUAAAUUGAGAAAUCAACAACCAAAACAGAACUUUGGUCAUGCAAGAAAAUCACAAAGCUUACAUUUUACAAUCAGUAUCCAAUACUAAAACUUUCGGCAUCAUGGUCUAAAUGGACGAAACAUGCUAUUUGUUCUGCACUAGUAGUGAAGAAUCACGUUCCAGAUAACCAAAGGCUCAAGUGAAAUGUUCUCAUUCCUGUCUGAACCUUUUUGCAGGGACUGAACCUCGUGCUGAGGCUUGCCUGGCUGCAGACCGUGAUCCAUCCAAAUUUUGGGAGCUUGGAUUCUAGGGUCACUUCCUUCUUCCUAGCGGCCCUCGAGGUGAUCCGGAGAGGUCAUUGGAACUUCUACCGGUAAGAACUUGCAAUUUGAUGGUUGCGCACACAGUCUCAUCCUUGAAAAACAACACAUCAAGGGUCUGAACGAGUACAUGAAAAUUUUUCAGGUUGGAGAAUGAGCAUCUGAACAAUGCGGGCAAGUUUCGGGCGGUAAAGACGGUUCCACUGCCUUUUCACGAAGUGGACGAGGACUAACGUACUACUGACCAUGGCUAGAUCGAACAAUUGUUUCUUCACCAUUCUGCUGAAUUUUUUUCGUAGUGAAGAACUCGAGAGGCGGAGAAUUGUUGGGAACCUUAGCUGUUUAUGCGCGUAGUAGUUCCUUCAGGAUGCUGAAAAAUCAUUUGUUCGUUCCUAGUAGAUGCGUCAAUGUGUAAAUAAGAAAGGCAUCGCGUUUCGCAGUGUUUUGUCUGACCAAAUGUGAGCCUUUUAUUCCAAGAUAAACGAAAAAAUGGGUACAAAAGCAUGUCAAAAUUAUCACAAGCCACAAUCCAAUGGUUCCUAUGACAGAUCCCGCGGGUAAUCUCACCGGUCUAUGAUGGUACAACAAGAACAGCAACAGCGGAAAUAAUUAAAUCAUGAUCUGGUACACUGAUAUAUGUAUAUAUGGAUCUCUCUGUUGGAUUUACCACGCUAGCGAUAGCAAAAGAGCAGCCAUGGCGGUCUGCAGGACGGCGACGCCCCAGUGCUGGUGCUGCCGGCUGCUCGCGUUCUGCAGGAAGAAGAAGCAAAAGCAUUAGUGAUUAUCAAUUGAUUUUUUUUUCCGUGCUAGUUCCUACUAUAAAUAGGGAAGAGAAUCUUGUGUUUUAGCGUCGUGAUCCGUGCAUUACCACGUCGAACGCCGACGGCGCGGGGCCGGACACGUCCUCGAGAUCAGCGGGCGACGGCGCGGCGGGCGCCGGCGGGCUCAGCGGCUGCGGCGCCUCCGCGGGGGCCUCCUUCUUGCCGUGCUGCUUCCUCCUCCUCUUGUGCUUGUUCUUGCCCUUGGAUGGCGCCUCGGCCGGCGGCAGCGUUGCGGGCGACUCGGCCACGGGCGCGGGCGUCGCGGGGGGCAGCGUCGCGGGAGCCUCGGCCGGGGGCGUGGCCGUCGGCGGAGGCGCCGCGGCGGGCGGGAGCACCGCGGGCGGCGUGGCCGGCGGCGGCGUGGAGGGAGGUGGCGUCACGACAGGGGGAGGCGUCACCGGCGGGGGCUUGGCCGGCGCGACCGCGGGCGCGGCCGGCGGCGGCUUUGACGGCGGGACCGGGGUGGCGGCCGGCGCGGGGGUCGCUGGGGUCGGCGGCGAGUUGGCUGGCGCCGCGGGGGUGGCCGUGGGCGCGAGCGCUGCCGGUGUCGUCGGUGCAGCAGGUGUCGUCGGCGCAGCAGGAGUCGUCGGCGCUGCCGGUGUCGUCGGUGCAGCUGGUGUCGUCGGUGCAGCAGGUGUCGUGGGCGCAGCCGGUGUCGUCGGUGCAGCAGGUGUCGUCGGCGUCGCAGGAGUCGUCGGUGCGGCUGGUGUCGUUGGCGCUGCCGGUGUCGUGGGCGCAGCCGGGGUCGUGGGUGCAGCAGGCGUCGUUGGCGACUGCGCCACGGCGGCGCCGAGGUGGAGCGCGAGGACGGCGGCGAGCACGGCGAUGCGGCGCCAUUGCCGGAGCAGCGGCGGCGCGGCCAUGCUGUUGGCGCGGUGCGGAUGCCGAGCUAGCUCGCUGACGGGAAUGCGGUCGAUGGAUCUCGCGCCGACCGAUGAAGCAG